AGGAUGCAUUGGAGUUCGCCUGAGAAACAAAGAGAGGAAGGGCAUUCCAGCAGAGGGCCCGGCGUGAGAGAUAUGGACUGUGGGAGCAGUAGGGGUGGGGAGGGAAGGGGGCCUGGCUGGCUCUUUGUUUUUUUCUCCUCCUUGGCCUUUGCUCUGGCUUGGAGUGGAGCUUAUCCUGGGCUCGGCAGCAGCCUGAGGUCACGUGGAGUUGACACCACGCCUGUCCCCAUUCAGCCCAGAUACUGAGCUCUGCCUCCGCGCUGCUGGGCCCAGGGAUGAGCCUGUCAGUGUGGCUGCAUGUGCCAAAGCUAAUUCUCCAACACAGUGGAAUGUGUUCCCUGCAGCCUGGAGACGGGCAGGCCAGAGUGAGGCAGGAAGAGGAGCCAAAUGGCCUGGGGAGGAGCUGCCUGGGGAGGCAACGGCUUUGAGCAGCUCGCCCUUGACUUCUGCCUGUGUCCCCACCCAUGCUGACCCUGGCCAGCCUUCCACCUGCCUGUGCCCCCCAUCUGCGCUGCCCGAGGCCACCCCUUUACCCGCCCGCAUCCCCCCAUCCACUCACUCAUGUCCUGGGUGUCCCUUGCCUUCUCCAAAGGAAAAGGAGUCUUUACUUACCAA
rnacentral:lncRNA from 1 species